rnacentral:rRNA from 1 species
AUUGAACGCUGGCGGCAGGCCUAACACAUGCAAGUCGAACGAGUGGCGGACGGGUGAGUAAUGUCUGGGAAACUGCCCGAUGGAGGGGGAUAACUACUGGAAACGGUAGCUAAUACCGCAUACCAUCGGAUGUGCCCAGGUGGGUUUAGCUAGUAGGUGGGGAAACGGCUCACAUGGGCGACGCUCCCUAGCUGGUCUGAGAGGAUGACCAGCCACACUGGAACUGAGACACGGUCCAGACUCCUACGGUAGGCAGCAGUGGGGAAUAUUGCGCAAUGGGCGCAAGCCUGAUGGAGCCAUGCCGCGUGUAUGAAGAAGGCCUUCGGGUUGUAAAGUACUUUCAUCGAGGAGGCGUUACUCGCAGAAGAAGCACCGGCUAACUCCGUGCCAGCAGCCGCGGUAAUUC